AUACCUACCUGGCAGGAGACAUACCAUGAUCACAAAGGUAGUUUUCCCAGGGCAAGGCUUAUGCAUUGAGCUCCAGAUGUGCUGACCCUGCGAGUUCCUCAAAUGUGGGAAAUUUGACUGCAUCAUUUGUGGUAGUGGGGGACUGUGUUCAUGCUCUCCCCUG